CCUACGGGAGGCAGCAGUGAGGAAUAUUGGUCAAUGGACGAGAGUCUGAACCAGCCAAGUAGCGUGAAGGAUGACUACCCUAUGGGUUGUAAACUUCUUUUAUGAAGGAAUAAAACGAGGCACGUGUGCCUUUUUGCAUGUACUUUAUGAAUAAGGAUCGGCUAACUCCGUGCCAGCAGCCGCGGUAAUACGGAGGAUCCGAGCGUUAUCCGGAUUUAUUGGGUUUAAAGGGAGCGUAGAUGGGUUGUUAAGUCAGUUGUGAAAGGUUGCGGCUCAACCGUAAAAUUGCAAUUGAUACUGGCAGUCUUGAGUACAGUUGAGGUAGGCGGAAUUCGUGGUGUAGCGGUGAAAUGCUUAGAUAUCACGAAGAACCCCGAUUGCGAAGGCAGCUUACUAAACUGUGACUGACAUUGAUGCUCGAAAGUGUGGGUAUCAAACAGGAUUAGAUACCCUUGUAGUC
rnacentral:rRNA from 1 species